rnacentral:rRNA from 1 species
UACAGAGGGUGCUAGCGUUGUUCGGAAUCAUUGGGCGUAAAGGGCGUGUAGGCGGUCUGUCGCGUCUGCUGUGAAAAUCCGGGGCUCAACCCCGGACUUGCAGUGGAUACGGGCAGACUAGAGUGUGGUAGGGGAGACUGGAAUUCCUGGUGUAGCGGUGAAAUGCGCAGAUAUCAGGAGGAACACCGAUGGCGAAGGCAGGUCUCUGGGCCACUACUGACGCUGAGAAGCGAAAGCAUGGGGAGCGAACAGG